CGUGGUUUCAUGUGAUAUUACAUGUUCUGCUAUGUUUUGGCGCAGGAAUUAGAUGGAUUGGAGAUAGAUGCUCGUGGAUGGAAAAAGUUGGUGAAAGCCGAGAAUUAUGGAAGAAGUUGAUUGAUUUUGGAGAAGAUUAGAGAUUGGGCUUGGAUUAAUUAGUCUAGAUUUAAUUAUACCCAAAACUCUUAUUUUAAUUAUUUUGGGUUGUGUUUUAUUAAAGGGGCCGAAGCCCAUAUUGUUAGAGAGAGGCG
rnacentral:lncRNA from 1 species